GGACUACCGGGGUAUCUAAUCCCUUUUGCUCCCCUAGCUGUCGUACCUCAGCGUCAGUGCUACCCUAGGAACCUGUUUUCACCCUUGGCAUUCCUCUCUAUAUCUACGGAUUUCACCCCUCCAUAGAGAAUUCUAGUUCCCUCGAAUAGACUCAAGAGAUGUCGUAUGACGAACAUUCCCACAGUUGAGCUGUGGUCUUAAACUCGCCACGCACAUCCCCGCCUACGUCACGCUUUACGCCCAGUAAAUCCGGAUAACGCUUGCACCCUACGUAUUACCGCGGCUGCUGGCAC
rnacentral:rRNA from 1 species